UCCCCAUACCCCGUCCUGUAUGAGGGUGAAGCGGGCCGUCCCGAUACCCCGUCCAGUGUGAGCGUCAAAUGACCAAGUCUCCAUAUCUCGUUCGGUAUGAGACGACGUUCACGGUGGGGUUCCCUAUGAACCCGGUCCGUCCACCAUCUCCCAGGAUAUCUAGUGAGGCUGUCACUUUAUCCAUUUAUCAGAUCACGUCCCAUUCCUAUUUGUCCUUAAUCUCCGUCACCAAAUCAACAAUAGUGAAGUAAGUGAUGCAUGCAUUUAAAACCAUAGAAUAGAUAAGUUAGAUACCAUAAUACAUUUAAACUGUAAAAUAAAUCAAACAGGAAUCGACAAAGAAUAAUGUCUGGUUCGGGCUCCAUUAGCAAUCAUAAUUAAUUAUGCAUAUCUAUUUAAUUUAUACAAAAUACAAUAUUAUUAUUUAUUCAAACUUCAC
rnacentral:lncRNA from 1 species